UGAAUAAAUGAUGUUAUUCUUUAAAAUAAGGAAAUUGUAUAUUCCGUGUCUACUAGAAUUUUAUAUACGUAAAAACAAAAGAAAAUAUAAUGUAAAAACAAAUCUGGAAAUCUUUGAAAAUAUGGAAUCUUUAUUUUCCUGUGUCCAAGUUUCUAACAUCAGUCACAUGAAACAAUCAUUUAUUACUUUGAAGGAUCCAGGUUCAAUUUCAAGUCCCAUAUAUCAUUUUUCAGGAAAGAUUCAGGACCAACCAGAUUUGUUAAACUCCAUCCUUCAACCUUUCUAGUUGAUCUCACCAUAGGUGCUAGACAGUUUAUGGGGAUUUUAAAAGUGGCUGCUGCCAAAAUAUCUCUUAAUGUUUAAUUCAAAUUAGCCUAACUAAGUUUCUAGCAAGUAUAAACAAUUAUUUUUAACACCAUUUUUUAACUAUUGGCUGACUAUUAGAAAAUUGUAUUUAUUCCAGAUCUAAUUACAAACUGUCCAUAUCUGUGUUAGAGCUAGUAGGACUUUGUAAUAGGUAAAUUGAUACCUGGGCCAGAUUCAUCAAAAAUUUUAUAGAUGCAUGGAAUCUGACUUCCAUGCAUUUAGGAUGGCAUUGAAUGGAUUGAGCCUGAACACUUAAAAAAAUCUGGAAGUAUGAGACCUGAAAUUAAAUACAAAUUUAAAAUUAAUAAAUGGAAGUUUGAU
rnacentral:lncRNA from 1 species